rnacentral:rRNA from 1 species
CUUGGUGUUACUGCGAAGGGGGGACGGAGAAGGCUAUGUUAGCCGGGCGACGGUUGUCCCGGUUUAAGCAUGUAGGCUGGUUAUCCAGGCAAAUCCGGAUAAUCAAGGCUGAGGUGUGAUGACGAGGUACUACGGUGCUGAAGUAACAAAUGCCCUGCUUCCAGGAAAAGCCUCUAAGCAUCAGGUAACAUCAAAUCGUACCCCAAACCGACACAGGUGGUCAGGUAGAGAAUACCAAGGCGCUUGAGAGAACUC